rnacentral:tRNA from 1 species
GGACGAUUAGCUCAGCUGAUUAGAGCACUGCAUUCACAUUGCAGGGGUCACAAGUUCGAAUCUUGUAUCCUCCA